rnacentral:lncRNA from 1 species
UGCUAUUGUCCCCCUUAUUUUUACUUAUCCUAAUUGCUGUAAUUUUCUUUUUCAAUUAUUAAUGAAAACUAGCCCUAGGCGCUUGCCUAGUGGAUUUCCAAAAAAAAAUCAACUAGUGUAAGACUUAAAGAAGUGACCUAAUUACAAAAACACAAUAAAACUUAGAAGCAAGAAAGGAGACGAGAACAAUACUACUAUUAGAAAUGCACACAAACGUAGCCUCAACAAAUGCAAAUUAAGCAAGAAGUAUGAUAAGCAAAGAAUUCUAACUAAAAUUUCCAGCAUGUUAUGGAGCAGACAAAAUGAUGAUUUCAGGACUUCCAGAGAUGAUCAAACAAACCUAAGAAUGAACUCAAGAUCAUGCUACUCAAAAUAUCAAUAGAACUAAAGGUGACUAGAAAAAUGACAAACAGGAAUGAACACUCUAAGAUGAAAAACAACUUCUUAGAAUCAUGACGCAAUACAAGUAGGAUCUAAAAGAUAAACAUUUACCAAACCUAAUCAGGCUAUCAAAGGGUGAAAUAAAUGAAAAUCAAGAGAUGAAGAUCAACGAGACAUGUAAAUUUCAAAUAUGAAACUACAAGGCAUGUAAAGCUUCAGAGGUGAAAACAAACUGACAAGUCAAAAGGCAAAAUAUAACAUCAGAUCAUUAUAGAAGAUGUAGUCUAACCAGUAAUACCCCAAAGAAUCAUUGAGUAUAACAAACAAAGAAGACUACUUAUCAUACUUGUGG